GGCGCCCGUGUGCCUGAGUACACGCGUACUCGUGCCUGCGCGUGUGUUCGUGCCAAUGUGCAAACAUCUUCUUGUGUGCAUAUGUGUCGUGUGUGCACCUGGGGCACGGAAGGUAUGGGGUGGAAACUGAGGCACCUGCUCUCGAAGGUCCCCCUGGGGAGGGUCCUCCUGCAGGGCGGAGUCCGCCCUCUAAGUCGGGGGGCGGGAGCAGCAGGGUGCAGACUUGGUAACACAAACCCGAAGGCGCCCGCCUGAGCCCAGCUGUAGACUACUCAGGGCCCGACGCUGAGCCCCACUCGGUUUUCUCUCGACUUAUCCUUUGCCUGGUUUUGAAGUUUGUUGGUGGUCGUUGUGUUGUUGUUGAGUUGUAGGAGUUCUUUUUAUGUUCUGGAUAUUAAUCGCUUUCAGACGUAUGAUUGGCAAAUAUUUUUUCCCAUUCUGUAGGUUGUUUUCUUCAUUUUGAGUCUCCUUUGAUGCACAAAGGUUUUUUUCUUUUUUCUUUUAAGAUUUAUGUCUUUGAAAGAGAGAGAGAGAGAGAAAGAGAGCAUGGGGUCAGGGUGAGCAGAGGGACACAGACUGAGGAACUCAAGUAGGACCUCAUCACGCGGAGCCUGAAGCCUGAUGUGGGGCUCAGUCCCCGGACAGAUCGUUACCUGAGCCCAAACCGAGUCAGAUGCUGAACUGAUGGUGUCACCCAGGCGCCCCCAUGCACAAAGGUACCCUGUUAUCACAGUACAUUUGUUGAAAAGGCUGUUCCAUAUCCCAGUUGAAUGGCCGUGGCAUCCUUGCUGAAAAUCCUUCGGCCACGAGCACGGAGGCUUAUUUCGUGGCUCUGCUCCGCGCACUCGGCCCACGCAUCUGUCUUCAUGCCCGUCCAGCACUUCUUUGGUUAUUGCAGCGUUGUAGUAAACUUGAAACCAGCAAAUAUUGUUAGCUGUAUGGUUGGGGUAGCCUUUCCUGUCUUCUUCAUGUCUGCAUCCCCGUCACUAAGAAGCAACCACAUGGUAAGUUUUUUCAAUAAAUUAUCUAGCAUGAGGGAGCUCAAUCAAUGAAUAAAUAAAUGUGUCACAACUUCUUAAUUGGGGAAAUGAAGGACUUACUACAAUUCACUUCUAAGUUCUCGUAGUUUAGAGCACAUACAACAACAUUACACCUUACGUAAGAGAAGAAGGAUUCACAAAGAUUUGUAUAUGAAAAGAAGCACAAAGAUAGAAGUGUUUCCCCUAUGGGAUCUGCUUGCCAUGGGAUAGGAUUGCUGUGGAGGGAGAGACAAAAGCACAGUGGGAAAGGGAUGGGAUUUAUGUAGCCUGGAAGUGUGUGGGAGGGAUGUCAGAAAAAGCUUCAAGCCAAGAGGACAGUCCUGUUGUUCUUAAAAAAUGAGUUGAAAUGCACUGGGUGGAUGGUGAAGGUAGGCAAUUCAAGUUGAUUUAUCUGAGGAACAGGGAACAUAAGAAGCAAAAAGCAUGGGUUGAGCAAACUAACAAAGCUUCAUGUCCUCUGCUUACCGGUUGGGCUGGAUUCUGUAGGUUGAGGCUGUCCUCAAUGGCGUUUAUUAGAGGAUGACUUGCAGUUUGGAGAGAUCAGAUUCCUAGUUGUGUAAAGGAUGAAUGGGGUGAGGCCAGAGUCAGGGAGACCCCCUGCUACCGAAAGCAACCAUCCAGGUGAGAAACCAUAAAGGCCUAAACUUUGCAGAUGGAGUGAAAACAGAGAAGGAGAUGCAGCAGCUCAAAUGCGCUUCCUUUGGCUUAUUUUCCCUCACAGCCAGAACCAAAAUUGGCAUAUGUUUAAAAGAAGAUGUUGAAUUGGCUCAUAUUUCUCCUAUUUAGGCCAAGAUGAACUUUCAGAAGCAAAAAGUCUUGAAUUUAUGUGGAAUCGCUUCUUGGCUGGGAAAGAUACAUUUCUUAUACCUCGAAGGAGAGGAAGGAGAGGUGGCCAUGCCCCAUGCUGUACCGCGUGGUUCAGUUAUUAGAGACCACUGGGUUGGCUGUAUCCUCAUGCCCAGCCCUCCAUUUACAGGGUCACCAGUGUCUUGGCUGCCCCACCUUCCUGUGCUCCUGGGAUUAUCUAAAAGGGAGCACGUCGGGUGUGGAGGGGCUGUGACAUAUCUUGGUUGUGUGGUAUAUGGUUUGUGCUGGCAUAAUUGGAGGCAGGUAGACAUUUAUCAUUUUGGAGGUGAUGAAAUUGAGAAUCCGAGAGAUGGACAACCAUCUCAGGAUUACACAACUAGUAUACAAUGGAGACGAGCUAAGGCUGGCGAUGGAAAACUGGACAGUCCUGAGUCACAGAGUUUCAAAAUCUAAUAUAGGACCAGUUGGCCAUAAAAGGGGGAUGAACUCAUCCUCAGACCCUCCCAUGGACCUGCCUCCUAGUGAUCAAAAUUUAGCUUCUUCUUGGAAAUGUAUAUCAUUACGUUGCAACUUGCAGAAACUUUAAUAAAGUUAUAUUAGUGAAGAGUUUUAUUAAUUUUUAUCUUUAAGAUAUUUUUGAUGGACGUUUUUGAGCAUACUCUAAAGAAAAAGUAAUUGUCCAUCUAAUCCCCACACAGAGCAUUUCAUUACUGAGCUUGGAGAAAUAUCCAUCAGUGACCAGUCUUGUGUCAUUUACCCAUUCCCCAUUUUGAUAGUUUGUUGCUACGCCUCUCAACCAUUUUACACAUCCAUAACCAUGUUAGGCACAAGUAAACAGCAUAAAGAUUGAGUCCAGAUACUCAAGAGUGACUAUCCUUGGGGUUUCAGAUGCCUUUGCCAACCUUUUGGGUGGCUGGAGGGAUCAAUAACUAGGCCUCGCAUCCUCAGAAAACAAAGCACUUAGCACUAAGCUUUGGUAUAAGUCUCCAAGGGUGGGCAGCUGUGCCUUGGGAUGCAGAAGCAGAACAGAAACCACAACAACAACAGAAAAAGAAAAGUAUAUGUAUUAAUGACCAAGGGAAUCUCAGGAAAUAGCUCUGGCUUUAAAAUGGUUUAAAAAUAUUAAAAUGGUUUUAAAAUAAUUUGUUAAAAGGAUUUUAUUUUUAAGUAAUCUUUACACCUAGUGUGGGGCUUGAACUCACAACCUUGAGAUGGAGUCA